CAGAGGUCUUCCCACUGCCCCAGCGGACCCUGUGCCCUUGCUCCCCGGCCAGAUGGGCCGGAUCAGGCUGGAUUGACCCGGUUCUGCAGACGCUGAGUAGUUUUCUUGUCCCCUGAUUUAUGUCUGUCUGCGCUUGCCGCCCCUCGCCCUCCCAGCUCCCCAGCCCAACCCCACUCCGGCCCUAGCGCACCCAGUCAUCCUAGAGCCAGACUCUGAGGUGGGGGGACCUGCACCCUCACGUGACCGAGGUGAUGCUUCAGGAGAAGUUCAGCCCUUCUGGGCCCAUCCUCUCCAUGCGGGUCUGCGGACUCCCUGUGUGUUACCUUCCAGCAGCCAGAAGGAGAGGAGUAAUUCCAUCCUCCCUCCACAAAACUGGGAUGGUGUUACUGAAGAAGAUGAAUGGGUGCUGGCUUUCCCGCUCCUGCAAGGGUCUGUACCCCUGGAAGAUGCUACUCUGACCUCCUUGAGAAAUGCUCCCACUAAGGGGGACGGAUGCCCAAGAGAACAGACGGGGGGCUUCUCGCUGGGCCACGGGUGGUCCAGCUGGAAGAAAACUUCGAGCACAGGGAAGGCUGGAAUUGCAUUCUAUUUAUUAUUUUCUGGGCUCGUCUUCAUAAGGCAUUUUUGCCUGAGCCACAGGCUUCAUAGCAAAGGCAAUAAAAGUGGGUAAAAUGCUGAUGUAAUGUAACAAUGUUGGGAUGAUGAUGUCAUCUGCGGUAAACAAGAAUAGCUAUUGAGUCAUAAAUAAUCUUUUUAUGGCGAUCUUGAAUAGGUCUGAUACCAGAUGCACAGUACAUAACACUCACUUUAUGGAAAUGCCUUUCCUUUGAAAAGAAGGGAUAACGGUCAGUAAUAUAUAAAGGUCCUUGUGUGCUGCUCACAUGGGCUUUAUUUUGUGCUUUCUGUGUGAUUUGUUUAAUGAUUCCUCAGUCACCUAAAUAGAACAGGCCUCGCUAUGCACUCCCUGGUUUUGUGUUAGUGGGCCAGAUGCCCAAAUCUGAACUGAGUCUGAGCUGCCUAGUCUCUGAAUGAAGUGUGUCGCCUCCAAAAUCCAGUUUCCUUUCUUGGACCUGUGAUGUUGAAGAGAGCUAGAAUUUUCUGUCACUGCACAUCUUGGGCUUUUUGUCUUUUAAAUUUUGAAGGCAGAAUAUAACAGACUUUGGUUCAUGCCACUGUCUAAGCAGGCUAAGACCUCCACAGUCCCCUCCAGAAGUGAGUCCUCCUCACCCUGUUCCUCGAUGUCCCCAUGCAAGGUAGCUACCCUCCCCAAGUCUGUUCAUGAGGCCCUUGCUUUCCCUGUUUACACAUUGUUAUCUCAUUGAUACAUAUUCUAGGAAAAUAUGCUUUAUUUGUUGUUUUUAACUCUAUACAAUUAAACUGGUUGGGAGCUAGGGCAACACUCAUUAUAGUAUUCUUUAUUCCUUUUUGAAUGUCGUCAAUAUUUGAUACAUCUUAAGAUGGAAAACAAAAUUUGCAGAUUCUUUUUAAAUUGUUUUUUAAAAUGUGUCUGUGAUCCAUGAAAGAGAAAUGUCAGCUUUGAAAGUUAAUGUUCAUGAAUAUCUGGGGACAAACUUUUUUUUUUUUUCAAGAUGGCAUCAUGUGGGGAAAAUUUGGCUCAUUGUAAAAUCAGGAUUUCUUAGAAAAUCUGUAUAAACUCUAAUGGCCAGUGUAGGAAGAGCCCCCUAUAAAAAAAGCAGAAGGUUUGUCUUCCACAAAAUAAAUGAUCUGGCAUUAGAGAGAGAACCCAUAUCACUGUUUUGUUACCUGAGUGUUUCUCCCAUUUCUGUUUUUCCCCUCUUCUCACCCCUCCCCCAUCCCCAUUCCCUCCCCUCCCCAAUUCAGUCCUCCUCUGAAGCCAAGUUCUUCUGGGGGAAGCACACACCCAAGAUGCGCAUUUAUGCCCCAGUGGGGGGGACUCAGCCUGCUUCUCCUCCAAGGAACUCUUGCACUUUGACAAAGAACUACUGCUGGGAACUUCGUGCACAUGGCCAUGAUUUUCAAGGACCUGAAUGCGAAGGCAGGAGGGGAGGACCUCUGAAUACCUUGGAGUUAGGGAGUUAGGGGGAUAGAGGUAUUUAGGUUAAAAAAAAGUCAUCAUGAUACCCCCAGUCCUCUCCCACAUCUCCACCAAGAAUUCUGGUGCCAAUAAAAAGAACGAAUAUUUACUGGCACUGGCGAUGGGGCAAGGCACAGAAGUAGGUGCUCUGUGGAUCUUUCCUCAUUUAACCAACAAACUUUUAUAGCAGGCAUCGCUUUUUCCAUAUUACUACUGAAGAAGUUGAGACUUAAAAAGGACAACUCAGUUGCCCAGUCUCACCACUUGUCAGCAAGGGGCGGCACCUGCCCCAUCCUCCCAGCACACCUGCCUCCUCACCUGCAGCCACGCCCACCCAGAGGCCACGUGGAACACACCAUGCAAGUGCAGAUGGAGAGACUGCCUCUUGCUUCUGAUGGGAAUCACAUUCUCAGCAGCUGAGGCAUUGCCAGGGGGCAAUAGCAUCUUUGCUUUGCUCUCCAGAGAACUCUUAAAUUCAGUUUUUACCAGUUAUCAAGAUGCUCCCGGCAGAUGAGUGAGGGAGAGAAGAGUAACAAGCUACGUUUUUAGCAGCUGAAGUUGAUAGCUGCCCGGCCCACGAAUCUAUAUUGGCCGGACCUGGAGCCAUGGACUAAUUCUGUGAGGAAGUAGCUAGAAGAACUUGCUUCGAAUCUAUAUUGGCCGGACCUGGAGCCAUGGACUAAUUCUGUGAGGAAGUAGCUAGAAGAACUUGCUUCAGGAAUGUUUCCCCUGUUCCAAUAGUAUUUUAGUUCUUUAUCAAAUUCCAACUUUAUCCGAUGGCCUUGGCCAUGGUGAAAAUGGGAUUAUGUUUAUCUCUGCUAUUUCAGAUGGACUGGCAGGAGUCCCUUCAAUAAAAUCAAGAUGGCAGAGAGGCUGUCUUUUUGGACUCUUCAUCCUGACCCGAAGUCAAGUAGAGGCCAGCUCAGCUCACUCCUGCCUGCUCCCAAUAAAGAUAGUGAGAAAGACAGGAGGUAGGGCUGGGGUGGUGAUGGAGGAAUGGAACAGGGGAGGGAGGAGGAGGAAAAGGGGGAGGAGGAGGAAGAAGGGGAGGGGGAGAAGCCAGCUGCUUCCUAGCUCUUCAACUGAUGGACCAAGUGAAGCCCCUUCCUCCCUGUGGAGAGUGGGAAUCACUCCCCGCCCUGUGCCCCCACAGUGGACAGCAGCUGGGCCUUGCUCCGGAAGCUGGACUGGCUCUGGCCAAGGGCAGCCUGCAUCAGCACUCUUCUGGAAAGCAGCAAGGGGCUCACAACCCAGACUCGGGCUUGGAAUUGGGACUUGUUUUCCACUCCUCCCUGCCAGGGCCCCUCCAUCAUAAUCCUGGACACCCCUGCAGAGUCCGCCCCGCCUGUCUGUGAAGAGCUGGCUGGCGGAGGCCGAUUUCAUGGGGCUCUGAGAGCGUGGGCCAGCAGAAAGCAGGGCAAGAGCUGCAGCCGUCCUUGUUGCUGGCAGCUGAGCUGGGCUCUGAACUGCUUCCCAGAUGGAAAACACGCCACUGCCGGGCAGCUUCAUAAGACCACCAGCUUGGCUUCAGGUGCAGGCUGCGGAGGGUAAACAGCCAGCUCGCUUCACUCACCCCAAGAGGAGGCCUUCUUGCUGUAAUCCUGACCAUCCCAGGAGGAGGGGCGGGGGGCUGGAACCAGCACAGCUAAAGCGGAAAUAGAGGAGCAGCCACAUCAUGGGAACACAGAUAUUUUAUCCUCGAUUUUUAAAAAGUUGCUCUGCAAACUCUCCCCUUGCUGGCAGAAGUUUGCAUUUACACAAAGCUACCUCUUCUAGUCUGUGCUCCAGCAAAAUCUCUAAAG